rfam:Anolis carolinensis unplaced genomic scaffold chrTn0532, whole genome shotgun sequence.
CCAAAGGUCUUCAUCAAGACCACUGCUAACGAUUAUUAUGAUUAUGU